rnacentral:rRNA from 1 species
GACGAACGCUGGCGGCGUGCCUGACACAUGCAAGUCGGACGGUUCUUGUACCUUCAAGCUUGCUUGUUGGUGCAAGGAUAGUGGCGGACGGGUGAGUAACGCGUGAACAUCUACCCAUUGGAGGGGGACAACCCGUCGAAAGGCGGGCUAAUACCGCGUAAGCCGCGAGGUGAGAGGCUGCCUAUUGGUGGCCGCCGAUGGAUGGGUUCGCGUCCUAUCAGCUGGUUGGUGGGGUAACGGCCUACCAAGGCGAAGACGGGUAGCCGGUCUGAGAGGAUGGCCGGCCACACUGGAACUGAGACACGGUCCAGACUCCUACGGGAGGCAGCAGUGGGGAAUAUUGCGCAAUGGGGGAAACCCUGACGCAGCAACGCCGCGUGGAGGAAGAAGGUCUUCGGAUUGUAAACUCCUGUCUUCUGGGACGAAGUAUGACGGUACCAGAGGAGGAAGCCACGGCUAACUACGUG